rnacentral:lncRNA from 1 species
GAAAAUAAAAACUAAAAUAACGAUGAAAAUAAAAGUCUAAAGUCAUGUUACUCCGGAUUUAUUAUUUUGAAUCUUAUAAUUCUGGCAUCACGACUCCAUCGCAUCGCCCGCUAACCAACGCUCCAUUCUAAUAUGUGAGGAUUAGGGAAAAUGAAGAGUACAUGAAAAUACUCAGUAGGACACAAAAAGUCAUAUUGCAAUCCCGAAUAAAAAUUUAGGACAUGUAUCAGAAUAUCAUAUCGUCUCAUAUAUUUUGAAACCGGUAAGAGAUCAUAUCAUAUCAUAUCAUUUGUACCGGAAUGGCCAUAUCAUUUAUAUCACAGCAUAUCAUAUCAUAUUUUUUACUUUCACGAGUACAAUAAUUUAUCAACAUGGAAAAAAAUAAUUAAACAGGAUAGAAUACUCUGCACCUCGAUAGCCUACCUUAUUAGAUAAAACAAUUUCUUUUAAAAAGUAGAAUCCGAACUUUAUUUUCAUUCUUUGUUGCUGCUACCACCGUAUAUGUAUAUCUAUUAUUUUUCUAGAGUAAAAAAAAUAAGAACUUUUGUAUGGUGUUUUGAAUUGAAAGGAAAGCUGAAUUUUUGU